UUGUUGUACACAUGGUGUUGUUCCUUGCCGAGCCCUUGAUUGCGAUGUAGUAAUCCUGCAGCACAGGACUGGAGACCAGACACACCAGAGUGACCUCAGCUCCUUUGUUGAUGUCCUCCUCUGUGAGGACGUGGACUAUCACGUUUGGCUCACGCCCAUCUGAAAGAAACACCAGCGAGGUUCAUAUAUAAAGUGCUGCUCAGCCUCAUAACAGGAGAUGAUCAACCUGAUGUUUGCAGUGAGAUAAAUAAAGAUGGAAGAGAUCAAGAUUUGCAUUGACUCCGCCUCACAGUGCUGAAAAAUAAGAAGAGUAAAAUUGAUAUUUAUCAACUGAAGGGAUUUGAUCUAUUUACUCAGAAGUUUCAGGGCUGGUUGGACGAGACACACAAAAUAAACUGAGAACUGAGUGGAUCCAGCAUUUGGUGCCUGAUUCCGAGCACACAGCUUGUAACAGUAUAAGCAACAUAUGAUCCAUUUCUUACAUGAAUUAAUGGCACACAGCUCAACUGAACUGAGUAUUGUGAUGAAUCUUUCAGCCAUUUUAUGGCCAGAAGUGAGGAGUCGUAUCAGGAUUCAGUCCAUCUUCCAAACCGCUUGUCUUUUUCAUGGUCACAGGGUGGAGCUUUUCUCAGCGCUCACUGAACAAGACAGGGUGAGGAAACCAUCACAGACACUCUGAGGAUGGAGGAAAAUAUUAAUUAUUCUGUCAGAGUCUGACCAUCAACGCCUGUCAAGACAAAAAAGAAAAUAUUCACUAGCUAUACUUGAGCAAAAGACAGAUUCAACUAAAGAUCUUUUGAUAUUUUUUCACCUGUCCAGCAGUGAGUUAAAAGCAGCAGUCCUGUCCUAUAGCCUACCUGUAAUGAUUUCAUCUCAGCAAUGAAAUCAUUGUGCUACAGAGUGCCUGUAGGACACAGUUCACAUUGGGAAAUGUGUCACUGUGGCACUUACGUCCAGUACUCCAUCAAGUGAUGCAAGUCCACUGCGGUUAAACUGGCUGUUGCCAUGUUUGUCACUAACUGUAGUGGAUAGGAGAGACCUGGAUUGGACUUGGCCUUCAGUUUAUCAUUUGAUGAAAUUGGAGAAGCAAUGAUCAGGAGUCAUUCCUCCAAGUCAAUUAAUUCAAAGUUUGUCUGACAUGCUUAAAACACCAUAAACACAUGUCCAACUUUGCUUUUAAUAAAAAUUCAUAAUGUUCAUUUUAG